rnacentral:rRNA from 1 species
UGCAUAGGCGGCCCUUUAAGUCGGAUGUGAAAGCCCGCGGCUUAACCGCGGAAUGGCAUUCGAAACUGGAGGGCUUGAGUGUCGGAGAGGGUAGUGGAAUUCCCAGUGUAGCGGUGAAAUGCGUAGAUAUUGGGAGGAACACCAGUGGCGAAGGCGACUACCUGGACGAUAACUGACGCUGAGGCACGAAAGCUAGGGGAGCAAACA